rnacentral:sRNA from 1 species
CUGGUCGAUGAGCGUGGGCGAGAUGAAGUGGACGUGGGUGUCGACGGCUCCCGCGGUGAGGAUCUUCCCGUUGCCCGCGAUGAUCUCGGUCUCGGGGCCGAUGACGAGUUCGGGGUGAACGCCGUCCAUGGUGUCCGGGUUGCCCGCCUUGCCGAUGCCGGUGAUCCGCCCGUCGCGGAUGCCGAUGUCGGCCUUGACGAUGCCCCAGUGGUCGAUGAUCACGGCCCCGGUGACAACGGUGUCCGGCGCGCCUUCGGCUCGCGUGGUCCGCGCCUGCCCCAUGGACUCGCGG